GGCAGUGGGACGUUGGACCAGUGACUUCUCAGCCCUCAGGUUCUAGAACUCUUUCCUCCCCAGGAUCAGGCUCCUGGAAAACAAGAUGUCGGUCACACUGCUAGGGCCUCUCCAGUUCUGAAGUCCUGCAGCUCUUGUAAAUGGACAGGGGGCAACAGAAAAGAAACGUGAAGUGUGCAUCUACUGUUCCGGGAUUCAGGUGGGAGGAUGAGUAACAGGCACAGCCCCCGGCCGCCGGCCGGGCUCUGCGGGGGAGGAGAGCCAGCCAGGUGGGAGGGAAGGGUUGGGAGCAAUGGGUUGGAAAUGGAAGGCCUGAGUGGGUGCCCGGGAAAGGAAGCAGAGAGUGUUGGAGAGGCCUUUCAAAGCUGAGCCGCCACACGCAGCGGCUCUGUCUUUCACUGACAGCUUCCAGACAGCUGUCAGAGACAGCUGUCAAAGGGCCCCUGCCACUCUUUGUAACCGUCCCAAGUGGCCUUGCUGUCCUGAGCUCAACACCUCCACGCUCUGAGCUCUCGGCUGGAGCCCAGCACAAGAGACCCACCACGACUUGCUGCCUCCCGCUCUUGGUAAAGGACUGUGCGAAUGUUGAGGUCGAGGCCCCAGCGUGUGUGGACGGUGACUUUCAAUUUUUCUAAGAUCUUUAUACGGUUUUAGGGAGGAAGAGAGACCAGUUAGUGCCAGGAAAGCCUUUGCUCACCUGGGGAGACGGGAGGAGAGAAUCAUUUCUCCUACACGUUCAUUUCCUUUCCCACUGAAAAUGCAAACAGAGCUUGGGAGAAAUUGUCAAGGUCUGUCAGUUCGUUGUUGGGAGCACUUCGGUGGCAAAGCUGCCCAG
rnacentral:lncRNA from 1 species